CUGCUUGUAAUCCUGUGACUCAGGAGGCUGAGACAGGAAGAUCACACAUCUGAGGAUACUCUGGACCACAGAGUGAGACCCUGCUUCAAAAAUUAAACAAAUAAGCAAGUUUUAAGACUAUAUGUGAGUAGGAGACAGUGUUCUUGGCUCGGAUGUGUUUAAUGUGGCAUAGGGACAGUAACUACAGUACACCCAGCUUGUCCACCUUGAAACGCAGUUCUGGUUGUCGAAGCAACUGUGAAGGAGCAGCGCGGGAGACCGGCGUGGAUUGUGCCCGAGCCCUGCCUUCUUCCUUCCUAGGACACGGGAAGGGGAAGCUGGAAGAGCUGCAGUUUAAGGCCGUCCUCCACCACACAAGUCUGAGGCUGGCCUGGACUAAAUAAAAUCUUUUCUUAAAAAGCCCCCAAACCCAAACCACCAAGCAAAAAAAAAAAAUGUGCUUACAUGUAAGAUAAUUUUAAAUAAAUGAAUUAAUACAGCC
rnacentral:lncRNA from 1 species